AUUGAACGCUGGCGGCAGGCCUAACACAUGCAAGUCGAACGAGUGGCGGACGGGUGCGUAAUGUCUGGUAAACUGCCCGAUGGAGGGGGAUAACUACUGGAAACGGUAGCUAAUACCGCAUACCAUCGGAUGUGCCCAGAUGGGAUUAGCUUGUAGGUGAGGUAACGGCUCACCUAGGCGACGAUCCCUAGCUGGUCUGAGAGGAUGCCCAGCCACACGGGAACGGAGACACGGGCCAGACGCGUAGGGGAGGCAGCAGUGGGGAAUAUUGGACAAUGGUCGCGAGCCUGAUGCAGCCAUGCCGCGUGUAUGAAGAAGGCCUUCGGGUUGUAAAGGACUGUCAGCGGGGAGGCGUUACCCGCAGAAGAAGCACCGGCUAACUCCGUGACAGCAGCCGCGGUAAUAC
rnacentral:rRNA from 1 species